GAAUAGCCCGAGAGAGUUGCAUAUAAUAGACCCGAAACCGGGUGACCUAUCCAUGUGCAGGUUGAAGGUGGGGUAAAGCCUACUGGAGGACCGAACCGACCCCCGUUGAAAAGUUGGCGGAUGACGUGUGGAUAGCGGAGAAAUUCCAAUCGAACCCGGAUAUAGCUGGUUCUCCCCGAAAUAGUUUUAGGACUAGCCUCGUGAUUAAGAUUAUCGGAGGUAAAGCACUGAAUGGCCUAGGGGUCGAGAGAUUACCGAAGCCUAUCAAACUCUGAAUGCCGAAUAAUCAUGCACGGGAGUCAGACUGUGUGAGAUAAGUUUCAUAGUCGAAAGGGAAACAGCCCAGACCUACAGCUAAGGUCCCAAAGUACGUUUAAGUGGAAAACGAUGUGAAAUUGCGUAGACAACCAGGAUGUUGGCUUAGAAGCAGCCAUACAUUAAAAGAGUGCGUAAUAGCUCACUGGUCGAGUGACUUUGCGCGGAAAAUUUAACGGGGCUAAAACGUACACCGAAGCUUAGGCUUGCAACUAUGUUGCAGGGGUAGGGGAGCGUUGAAUGAGGGGUGAAGUCGUAGCGAAAGCGACGGUGGACUUCAUUCAAGUGAGAAUGCCGGAAUGAGUAGCGAGAAUUAUGUGAGAAUCAUAAUGGCCGAAAGCCUAAGGUUUUUGGAGGAAGGUUCGUCCGCUCCAAGUAAGUCGGAAGCUAAGGUGAGGCUGAAAAGCGUAGCCGAUGCACAAACGGUUGAAAUUCCGUUACCACAGAAAGAUUUAAACUAAGGGACACUUUUGAAGAGCUGAUGCCGGGUGUUGGUUACCCCGGUCGUAAGGGAACGAAAUCAAGUAGUGAAGUCAGCGUGGAUGAAGGCGAGAAAAGCUUAGUGUAUAUCUUAUGUGUCCGUACCGCAAACCGACACAGGUAGGUAGGAAGAGAAUUCUAAGGCCAACGGGAGAAGGGUAGUUAAGGAACUCGGCAAAAUGUCCCCGUAACUUCGGAAUAAGGGGAGGUUUCUACGGAAACCCGCAGAGAAUAGUCCCAGGCAACUGUUUAUCAAAAACACAGCUCUAUGCUAAAUCGAAAGAUGACGUAUAUGGGGUGACGCCUGCCCGGUGCCGGAAGGUUAAGAGGAGGAGUGAGAGCCCUGAAUCGAAGCCCCGGUAAACGGCGGCCGUAACUAUAACGGUCCUAAGGUAGCGAAAUUCCUUGUCAGGUAAGUUCUGACCCGCACGAAAGGCGUAAUGAUUUGGGCACUGUCUCAACAGCCCGCCCGGCGAAAUUGUAGUACCGGUGAAGAUGCCGGUUACCCGCGACUAGACGGAAAGACCCCAUGGAGCUUUACUGUAGCUUAAUAUUGGAUUUCGGCAUUUCAUGUACAGGAUAGGUGGGAGACUAGGAAACAUAGGCGUCAGCUUAUGCGGAGUCGUCCUUGGGAUACCACUCUUGGAGUGCUGAAAUUCUAACCUGCAGCCCUGAAUCGGGUUGGGGGACAUUGUUAGGUGGGCAGUUUGACUGGGGCGGUCGCCUCCAAAAAGGUAACGGAGGCGCUCAAAGGUUGGCUCAGCAUGGAUGGAAACCAUGCCAUAGAGUGCAAACGCAAAAGCCAGCCUGACUGCGAGACUGACGGGUCGAGCAGAAACGAAAGUUGGAGUUAGUGAUCCGGCGGUAUGUGAAUGGAAAUGCCGUCGCUCAACGGAUAAAAGCUACCCUGGGGAUAACAGGCUGAUCUCCCCCAAGAGU
rnacentral:rRNA from 1 species